rnacentral:siRNA from 1 species
ACUUGUAUUUUUUUGGGAUUGAGG